GUGACGAUGGCACUGAGGCCACACCUGUUCCCAUACCGAACACAGAAGUUAAGCUCAGUAACGCCGAAAGUAGUUGGAGGAUCGCUUCCUGCGAGGAUAGGAAGUCGCG
rnacentral:rRNA from 1 species